CUGUCAAAAUCGCUUGUUGCUUCCUGCCCUAGCCUUAAAAGUAGUUAGCGAGCUAGCGUGUAGCGACUGAUAGCUUACUUUCACUGACAUCUGUUUUGAAAGCGAAAAAGUUUGCUGCGGAACGCAAAUAGAGGCAAGUGUUAGUCGAAGAACGUUUCUGCCGUCCUGUGCCGAACCGUGAGUCCCAUAUCAACCGAAACAGCGCUCUCGAGAAACCGUUGGUAGCGGCUGAAGUACAGCUGGAUGUGACAGGUUCGUCAUCAGGCAUGGACCUCCGGCAGAAGCAGUCAAGAGCUCGCGAGGAAUGACAGCAGAACACAUGGUCAUUAACUCCUGUCGCUGAGGCUGAGGGGAGAGCUGCGCUGUAGCUCCGCGUCACAGAAGCACCGGGAGCGUCCUGCGUUUGGGACAGCAGACAGACAGACAGACACAGAGCUACGGGACCCCCGGUGAAAGGAGAUCACUGACAGAAAGUGCCUUGUGAGACAGCAUCCCUACUUGAAGAUCGCUGAGUGUUUCUGAAGAACUCCAGAUUUUUUUUUUUUGCCCUCUGCGAUCGUGACGCCACACGGCUCGGCUGUGAGGAUCGCUGACCCUUGAUUUGUCCUCACCUAUGAUCUGUGUGAAGGAAAAGUAAAGAGCUGCUGGAGCUGCUGCAUAGCUGGCCAACGUGCCAAAGCUCAGAGAGAGGGUAACAAUAAAAAGCCACAAACUUUGUAUUAUCCUGAACUGUGCCAUUGUACCUCAAAAUAACCCUGAUAUCCACCCCUUGCAAAGAUAUCAUCACUCACGCAGAGGACAUUUUGGGGACACGGGUACAUCGACUAAAGCUUUUCUCUGAGCAUGCCCCCUCUGCCUUUCCAGACGUUCGCACCUGAGACUUACUGAUUGAUAAACAACUAGCUGUUUGACUGAGAAACUCCACAAUAGCGCAAUAGUGUAGUCCCAUGUUCAGGUCACAGAGACCUUGCCAGUCCAUUACCUCCACGUUCCUGUCUGCAAGGACAAGCCUGAUCCACUGACCUGAAGCAGAUCAUUUAUAGCUACACGUUCUGCUGCUUCUUAGUUCUUUUGUUUUUUGGGGAUAUUUUUGUUUUUGCUUCUUUCUUUUUUUUUACUGGAGUGCUCCUCUUCAGAGGAUAACCUCCACAUUAAACCUAGUGGCUCUGCUGCAACCCGGCUCUACAGCCAGCGCUGUUGACAUGGCUCUAAACAUUGCCUCCAUACGGGACACAAAAUGGCUGACCCUGGAAGUGUGCCGGCAGUUUCAACGCGGGACUUGUUCGCGCAGCGAUGAAGAAUGCAAAUUUGCCCACCCACCCAAAAGCUGCCAGGUGGAGAAUGGGAGAGUGAUCGCCUGCUUUGACUCGUUAAAGGGUCGCUGCACACGAGAGAACUGCAAAUACCUCCACCCACCUGCUCACCUGAAGACCCAGCUGGAGAUCAACGGGCGAAAUAACCUGAUCCAGCAGAAGACAGCUGCCGCCAUGUUGGCUCAACAAAUGCAGUUUAUGAUCCCCGGCACCACCAUGCAACCUGUGCAGACAUUUCCAGUCAGCCAGGGGCUGGGGUCCAGUGCAGGUUUAAGCUACACACCCUACCUGACUCCCAUGUCCCACAGCAUGGGUCUGGUGCCAACAGACAUCCUGCCCAGCACUCCGGUUAUCGUCCCCGGCAGCCCGCCCGUCUCCGUGACCGCUGGCUCUUCCUCCAACCAGAAACUUCUGCGUACUGACAAGCUGGAGGUUUGCCGCGAGUUCCAGCGGGGCAACUGCGCUCGCGGCGAGACAGACUGCCGUUUCGCCCACCCGAGCGACAGCCCCAUGAUCGACACCAGCGACAACACGGUCACCGUGUGCAUGGACUACAUCAAGAGUCGCUGCUCUCGCGAGAAGUGCAAGUACUUCCACCCUCCCGCCCACCUGCAGGCCAAGAUUAAGGCCGCCCAACACCAGGCCAACCAGACAGCUGUGGCUGCGCAAGCUGCUGCCACAGCUGCAGCCAUGACUCAGUCGACUGCCAAAGCAAUGAAGCGACCCCUCGAGGCAACUGUAGACCUGGCGUUCCCCCACGGCGUCCUCCAGCCCCUACCAAAGAGACCAGCACUUGAGAAGAGCAACGGAGCGAGCUCCCUGUUCAACCCCAGUGUUUUGCACUACCAGCAGGCGCUGGCCAACGCACAGCUCCAGCAGCCCGCUUUCUUUCCCACAGGGUCAGUCUUGUGCAUGACUCCCGCUAGCAGUCUUGUCCCAAUGAUGUACAGUGCUACGCCUGCUACUGUCUCUGCAGCAACAACUCCUGCCACAAGUGUCCCCUACGCAGCAACAGCACCAGCCAAUCAGCCUCUCCAUCUGCAGUAGGGGCCUCAUCUGUACUGCUUGUGUGCUCUGCAAACACACACGUUCAAGCAAAUACACACAGACGAUUUCCGCAGCACCUAACAGCCGGUUCGUAACAGCAGCUAUGUUGGAUCUAUUCCUGUUUUCCACUCCUCUCGGCUUCACCUUUUUACCUUUUCCUGGUUGCAGGAUAAAAGGGAGAAUAAAUCAUGUGAGGCAACAGUUCUAGGCUACACUUGUCAGGGUGAGAGACGCAGGGGAAAAAAAAGAAGAUCACAGAAGCUGUCUAAAAAUGGCCCCUGAUCGGCGGCUCUCCUGUUGCCACGUGUCAAGCAAGAGCCAGGGAAGCAAGGCCAGGUUUUUGAAUGCCAGAGUGACGCAUGUGUGCCCCAUUUUAAACCUGGAAAUUUCAGCACAAUGCUGGCACACCGGCCUCAUGCAGCUGGCAAUCAUUUACUGGUAGUUCUGUAUCGAGAUUAUCCUGAAGUAAG